GGAGGAGGAGGAGAAGGAGGAGGACGGUUGUUGGCCGGCAGACUGAAGUGGCCACCAGCCCGUAGUGUUUGUCCGUCCUGGCAGCAGAUGGAAUAAAAAGCUGCAGCUCUGGAAAGUCUUCCCAUCCUGCUGCAGAUGAGAAAUCAGGUCUCGGGCUCAUGGGGAAAAAUACAUAUUUUACAGAACAUGGAGAGGGGACAUGAGGAGCAAAGGAUGGGGUGGAGGGAAUGAAAACUAGCUCUAUGGGACGGCAGCGUUAAGAUGACAAGAGGGGAUGACAGAGCAUCUCCACAAAGCCAGACCGUCUCCUGCAAUCUACUUGUGAAUUAUGGAGUUCGUCCAGUUCAUUGCACUGUGUGUAUAAUAAACAUGCAUGUUCACAUAAAACUUUGUGUGCAUGUAA